CCGAAUGCACCGUAUAUGUCCUAGACGCCUCGUAUAGAGCUAUACGAGGCGUCUAUGCUUUUUGCUAAAUGACAUUUUUGCCCCUGUUUUACCCUUAGUAUAGCCUUUUAUCAGGGGCAAAAUGGUAAUUAACCAUUCCAAAAAGAUAUUUCUGGAAUGGUUAAUUACCAUUUUGCCCCUGAAAAAAGGCUAUACUAAGGGGUAAACAGGGGCAUAAUGGUAAUUUAAUAAUACAUUUUAUUAAUUAAAAAAAGAAAUGGCAAAAAGUAACCGCCUCAACUGUACUCCUCGUACAGGUCUGUACGAGUCGUACAAUUUUGAAAUUACCUUUUAGCCCCUGCUAAGUGGCUAUACUGGGGGCAUAUCAGGGGUAAAAUAGUAAUUAACUAAAAUGAUUUUCAAAAUUCAAAUUCAAAAUUCAAAUUUAAACCGCUCAAAGAGACGCCCCGUACAGGUCUGUACGAAGCGUCUACUUUCAAAAAAUUCAAAUUUUGAAUUUCAGAUAUUCAAAAAUUGAAUUUUCAAAAUCCCGCUCAACUGUACUCCUCGUACAGGUCUGUACGAGGCGUCUGGUUGGUGUAAAAUUACCUUUGAGCCCCUGGAAUAAGCCUCUAUUGGGGGCCUAUCAGGGGCUAAAUGGUCUUUUGUGCAAUAUGAUACGAGGAGUCUAGUUCUAUACGAAGCGUAUAGUUUUUUUUUUGUAGAAAAAUUUAAAAAAAUACUAUUAAUUCCAAAAAAAUAUUAUUCAUUACAAAAAAAAUACUAUUAAUUACAAAGUUACACUAUUAAUUCCAAAAAAAAUACUAUUA
rnacentral:lncRNA from 1 species